rnacentral:rRNA from 1 species
GAAGAUGGGGAUAACCUCUGGAAACGGGGGCUAAUACCCAAUGUGCUCGGUGAUUCGGUUGAUCGAGUAAAGCUCCGGCGCUUCGGGAGAGGCCUGCGGNCCAUCAGCUAGUUGGUAGGGUAACGGCCUACCAAGGCAGAGACGGGUAGGGGGCGUGAGAGCGCGGACCCCCACACUGGCACUGCGACACGGGCCAGACUCCUACGGGAGGCAGCAGUAAGGAAUAUUGCGCAAUGGACGAAAGUCAGACGCAGCGACGCCGCGUGGGCGAUGAAGGCCUUCGGGUUGUAAAGCCCUUUUAUGGGGGAAGAGAAAAAGGACGGUACCCCAUGAAUAAGUCCCGGCUAACUACGUGCCAGCAGCCGCGGUAAAACGUAGGGGACAAGCGUUAUCCGGAUUCACUGGGCGUAAAGAGCGUUGAGGCGGUUCCGUAAGUUGGGCGUGAAAGCUCCGGGCUUAACCCGGAGAUGUCGUUCAAUACUGCGGGGCUUUGAGGACAGCAGAGGAAGGUGGAAUCCCCGGUGUAGUGGCGAAAUGCGUAGAUAUCGGGAGGAACACCCGGUGCGAAAGGCGGCCUUCUGGGCUGUUCCCUGACGCUGAAGGCGAAAGCUAGGGGAGCGAACGGGAUUAGAUACCCCGGUAGUCCUAGCUUGUAACGAUGGAUGCUGGGUGUGGGGGGGUGUAAAUUCCCCUCUGUGCCGAAACAAACGCGUUUAGCAUCCCGCCUGGGGACCUACGGCCGCAAGGCUAAGACUUCAACGGAUUUGACGGGGGGCCCGCACAACCACCGGAGCGUGUGGUUUAAUUCGAGUGCUCGCGAGGAACCUUACCUGUGUUUGACUUGCACGGUGGUAGGGAACCCGAAAGGGGACCGACCCUUCGCGGAGCGUGCACAGGUGCGACAUGCCUGUCGUCAGCUCGUCCCGUGAGGUGUCGGGUUAAGUCCCGUAACGAGCGCAACCCUGGCCCUUAGUUACAAGUGUCUAAGGGCGGCUGCCCGGGACAACUGGGAGGAAGGUGGGGAUGACGUCAAGUCAGCAUGGCCUUUAUAUCCAGGGCUACACACACGCUACAAUGGCCAGUACAAUAGGUAGCCAAGUCGUGGGACGGAGCCAAUCCUUAAAG